rnacentral:lncRNA from 1 species
CAAGAUUUGUUUUCAAAAUAACUAAUGGUUGUGUGCCCUUGGGCAAGUUACUUGACCUCACUGAGCCUCCUGGGUAAAGUGGACAUGAAGUAAAAAGAAGCAUUCCUUUCUAAACUUUGUUCCGUGUGAUUAGACUGUAAGGAAACUUACCUAUAUUAUUUUUCUAGAUCUAAACAAAUCUCAUUUUCAGAGUUGUUGAGAAAUCUACUAUCAGUUGUUAUUGGAGUGGGAGAGAGGCACGGGCUACAGACAGCAGUCAUGCUGGGCUAACACAGUCUGGAAAAUGUGGGGAAGAGCCUCUGUUCUUCAGUCAAUUAUGGUAGCCACUGAGUUGUCCACUGUCCACCUGGACUGUCCAAAGGUGGGCAGCUUCUCUGCUCACAGUGCCAUCACCUCUCUGUGCCCUGCCUUGCUCUCAGUGCCUUUAACGCAUCUCCCAAUACCACAGAACAGGGGUCAGGACCCCUGCAGCCAUGCUGCAUCUUCUCCCUGUCUCUGCUAAUGAGGUUUGAUUUCAGAUUUCUAUCACUCUCCCAUUGUCCUAUCCCCAUUAGAUCUCAAAGAAUCUCAUCUCUCUCCUCUAGUUAUUCAACUCUUACUCCUCCAACCCUUGGAGACUUUCUACUUUGGAUCAAUCCAGCUACAUAUUUUGAUGGACCUAGACUACAGAUCAGAAUGGACUUGAACAUGAUGGCAAAGGUCAACAACCUUUCCAGUCUUCUGGAAUGCAAGAUGAACUGGGCAUAUCUUGAAUCCUUCAGGGUUAACUAUCAGUUAUGUGUCCUAGGAGGAACUAUGGAUGACGUGGGACACAUGAAGCUCAGCACUUUCUGUGCAGCCGUGGUUUAUAACCCCAGGAGCAACUCACUUCCCUUACAACUUCUCUUGGGAAAAAUUCAUUAGCUUGUCCUAUGUGAAAUUAAGUCUCACAGAAUUAGAAAAAUAAAAGGAGCGAAACUGUUGUCAUUUCUUCUCAUUUCCAUAUUCCAUUGAGGUACAGGUCACCUUAGGAACUCUGACACGUGUUCAGAGAGGUAGACCUUCAAUGUGAUGGUGCAUUCCUGGGCAAAUUAAUUCUUUCAGUAUAGUCAUUUUUGUAUUUACAGUUCAAG